GGCCCCAGGAUCCCGAGUUGGAGGGGGAAAGCAUGCCAGCAGCAUUUCUGUGUUUUCUCCCCAAGUAGUGGAGGAAACAAGUCUGAGCAAUAUACAGUACAAAGCAACCCGGAGAUUGCUUAGCCUCAGAACUCGUUGAAAUGAAUGGACCUGAGUUAUAUAGGGCAACCCUAAUCGAGAGGCCAUACAGGCCCUGGGCUGUUGCUUGGAUGCAGUGGUGAGAUGGAUGAGGGACAACAAGCUCAGCUUGGACCCUGGCAAGAUGGAGGCACUGUGGGAAGUUGCUGGCAGAGGCAAUAAGGAAGCAGAAUCCGACUACAGUGCGAAAUUGCCACAUACAUAAUCUCUGCUUCACGCCCAUGCGACAGACUUGACCUAGUGGCUGGAAUGCAUUCAGAACAUCACAAGACUUAAGUUUGGACACACCCAUCAUUUUCCUUCCUCUGUUGCUACCACUCUGCUGCUUCUGAAUAAUAAUAACAAUAAAAAGACAGACAUGUCUUCUUCUUGUU